rnacentral:rRNA from 1 species
GUGCCAGCAGCCGCGGUAAUUCCAGCUCCAAUAGCGCAUAUUAAAGUUGUUGUGGUUAAAAAGCUCGUAGUUGAACCUUGGGCCUGGCUGGCCGGUCCGCCUCACCGCGUGCACUGGUCCGGCCGGGCCUUUCCCUCUGUGGAACCCCAUACCCUUCACUGGGCGUGGCGGGGAAACAGGACAUUUACUUUGAAAAAAUUAGAGUGCUCCAGGCAGGCCUAUGCUCGAAUACAUUAGCAUGGAAUAAUAAAAUAGGACGCGCGGUUCUAUUUUGUUGGUUUAUAGGACCGCCGUAAUGAUUAAUAGGGACAGUCGGGGGCAUCAGUAUUCAACUGUCAGAGGUGAAAUUCUUGGAUCAGUUGAAGACUAACUACUGUGAAAGCAUUUGCCAAGGAUGUUUUCAUUAAUCAGGAACGAAAGUUAGGAGAUCGAAGACGAUCAGAUACCGUCGUAGUCUUAACCAUAAACUAUGCCGACUAGGGAUCGGACGGUGUUAUUCAUGACCCGUUCGGCACCUUACGAGAAAUCAAAGUGCUUGGGCUCCAGGGGGAGUAUGGUCGCAAGGCUGAAACUUAAAGAAAUUGACGGAAGGGCACCACCAGGGGUGGAGCCUGCGGCUUAAUUUGACUCAACACGGGGAAACUCACCAGGUCCAGACACAAUAAGGAUUGACAGAUUGAGAGCUCUUUCUUGAUUUUGUGGGUGGUGGUGCAUGGACGUUCUUAGUUGGUGGGGUGACUUGUCUGCUUAAUUGCGAUAACGAACGAGACCUUAACCUGCUAAAUAGCCCGCAUUGCUCCGGCAGUGCGCUGGCUUCUUAGAGGGACUUUCGGCUCAAGCCGAAGGAAGUUUG